AAAUGAAUAGACGGGGGCCCGCACAAGCAGCGGAGCAUGUGGUUUAAUUCGAAGCAACGCGAAGAACCUUACCAGGUCUUGACAUCCAGUUAAAGCUAUAGAGAUAUAGUGUGCCUUCGGGCGAACUGAGACAGGUGGUGCAUGGUUGUCGUCAGCUCGUGUCGUGAGAUGUUGGGUUAAGUCCCGCAACGAGCGCAACCCCUGCUGAUAGUUACUAACAAGUGAAGUUGAGGACUCUAUCGGGACCGCCGGGGACAACUCGGAGGAAGGUGGGGACGACGUCAAAUCAUCAUGCCCCUUAUGACCUGGGCUACACACGUGCUACAAUGGCCGAGACAGAGGGAAGCGAAGGAGUAAUCUGGAGCGGAUCCCAAAAAGGCGGCCACAGUUCGGAUUGUGGGCUGCAACCCGCCCACAUGAAGCCGGAGUUGCUAGUAAUCGCGAAUCAGCAUGUCGCGGUGAAUACGUUCCCGGGCCUUGUACACACCGCCCGU
rnacentral:rRNA from 1 species